rnacentral:rRNA from 1 species
AGUGGCGAACGGGUGAGUAAUACAUCGGAACGUACCUUAUCGUGGGGGAUAACGCAGCGAAAGCUGUGCUAAUACCGCAUACGCCCUGAGGGGGAAAGCGGGGGAUCGAAAGACCUCGCGCGAUUAGAGCGGCCGAUGCCUGAUUAGCUUGUUGGUGGGGUAAAAGCCCACCAAGGCGACGAUCAGUAGCUGGUCUGAGAGGACGAUCAGCCACACUGGGACUGAGACACGGCCCAGACUCCUACGGGAGGCAGCGGUGGGGAAUUUUGGACAAUGGGGGCAACCCUGAUCCAGCAAUGCCGCGUGAGUGAAGAAGGCCUUCGGGUUGUAAAGCUCUUUUGUCAGGGAAGAAACACCGGCUCUAACACAGUCCGGGAAUGACGGUACCUGAAGAAUAAGCACCGGCUAACUACGUGCCAGCAGCCGCGGUAAUACGUAGGGUGCGAGCGUUAAUCGGAAUUACUGGGCGUAAAGCGUGCGCAGGCGGUUAUACAAGACAGGCGUGAAAUCCCCGGGCUUAACCUGGGAAUGGCGCCUGUGACUGUAUAGCUAGAGUGUGUCAGAGGGGGGUAGAAUUCCACGUGUAGCAGUGAAAUGCGUAGAUAUGUGGAGGAAUACCAAUGGCGAAGGCAGCCCCCUGGGAUAACACUGACGCUCAUGCACGAAAGCGUGGGGAGCAAACAGGAAUAGAUACCCUGGU